GCUCAGGACGAACGCUGGCGGCGUGCUUAACACAUGCAAGUCGAACGAUGAACCGCUUUCGGGCGGGGAUUAGUGGCGAACGGGUGAGUAACACGUGGGCAAUCUGCCCUGCACUCUGGGACAAGCCCUGGAAACGGGGUCUAAUACCGGAUAUGACUGUCCAUCGCAUGGUGGAUGGUGUAAAGCUCCGGCGGUGCAGGAUGAGCCCGCGGCCUAUCAGCUUGUUGGUGAGGUAGUGGCUCACCAAGGCGACGACGGGUAGCCGGCCUGAGAGGGCGACCGGCCACACUGGGACUGAGACACGGCCCAGACUCCUACGGGAGGCAGCAGUGGGGAAUAUUGCACAAUGGGCGAAAGCCUGAUGCAGCGACGCCGCGUGAGGGAUGACGGCCUUCGGGUUGUAAACCUCUUUCAGCAGGGAAGAAGCGAAAGUGACGGUACCUGCAGAAGAAGCGCCGGCUAACUACGUGCCAGCAGCCGCGGUAAUACGUAGGGCGCAAGCGUUGUCCGGAAUUAUUGGGCGUAAAGAGCUCGUAGGCGGCUUGUCACGUCGGUUGUGAAAGCCCGGGGCUUAACCCCGGGUCUGCAGUCGAUACGGGCAGGCUAGAGUUCGGUAGGGGAGAUCGGAAUUCCUGGUGUAGCGGUGAAAUGCGCAGAUAUCAGGAGGAACACCGGUGGCGAAGGCGGAUCUCUGGGCCGAUACUGACGCUGAGGAGCGAAAGCGUGGGGAGCGAACAGGAUUAGAUACCCUGGUAGUCCACGCCGUAAACGGUGGGCACUA
rnacentral:rRNA from 1 species